UAGAGAAGGAGACACAUUUGUGCGAUAUUUAGGAAGCAAAAUUGUAGGGCAGGAAUGGAUCUGAAGUCAAUGAAAAAUUCUUCAUAGCUCUAGUUGUUGGGCUUCCCCAGAAGAUGACACUGAAAGGAAGGUUUGGAUGCAAGUUGUUCAUUUAGGAGGAGAUCUCAGGAAGCACAAAGUAUUUCCUUGGGUCAGGACCUCCAAGUCCUCCCCUAACUGUGGGCAAGUCUUAUGUGGUGCACCUGAAGCAGCCCUCCAGAUUGGAGAAUGUUUCCAUAAGUCUCAUUGAGCCACUGUGCCUUCUCCAGGUAGAAACAGCCUUCUGUCUCAUGACUGACACCCUUCCUUGGUUCCUGUCAUCUGUAGCCAGGUAUGCUGGGUGCUGGAGAGAGCCCUGGACUUGGAGUCAAAAGACUGCAGUUGGAGCAGAGGAUCUUCCCUCAGAAGUUCUGCUGUGGGCUGAGUCGUUUCACCUCUCUGGGCCCCAUAUGGACCUUUGUAAAACUGAGUGGAGGCGAGGAGGUGCAGCAGGUCCAUAAAUUCAUCAGCUUCCCAGGCUGCUUCCACCUUUGCUACAUGUGGCCUCAUCCUUACAGCCCAAGAUGGCUCCUAGGGCUCUAGCCAUCACAUCCUGGUACCAGAGAGCAAGAUGACUGAAGGGGAGGAAAGAGAGCAUGUGCUUGUCUCGUGAAGAGAUUUCCUGGAAGUUACACAAAACAUUUCUGUUUUCAGCUUGUUGACUAGAACAUAGUCGUCUGUCAUACUUAGUGUGGAGGGUGACCAAAGAGGGAGUGUUUUGUCUGAAUAGCAUUGCAUCCAGCCAGAUAGCGAGGGCAAGUAGCUGGAGGGAAGAGGAAGACAGACAUUGUAGAGGAAGCUAGCAGUGACUCCCCCCAAGAUUAUAUCCUAUUAAUAAAAGUAAGAACCUAA